GAGGAAACUUGUGCUAAUACCGGAUAAGUCUUUACGGAGAAAGCUUUAUGCACCAUUGGAUGAGCCCGCACUUGAUUAGUUUGUUGGUAGGGUAAUGGCCUACCAAGACUAUGAUCAAUAGCUGAUUUGAGAGGAUGAUCAGCCACAUUGGGACUGAGACACGGCCCAAACUCCUACGGGAGGCAGCAGUGGGGAAUCUUGCACAAUGGAGGAAACUCUGAUGCAGCGAUGCCGCGUGAGUGAAGAAGGCCUUUGGGUUGUAAAGCUCUUUCGUCGGGGAAGAAAAUGACUGUACCCGAAUAAGAAGGUCCGGCUAACUUCGUGCCAGCAGCCGCGGUAAUACGAAGGGACCUAGCGUAGUUCGGAAUUACUGGGCUUAAAGAGUUCGUAGGUGGUUGAAAAAGUUGGUGGUGAAAUCCCAGAGCUUAACUCUGGAACUGCCAUCAAAACUUUUCAGCUAGAGUAUGAUAGAGGAAAGCAGAAUUUCUAGUGUAGAGGUGAAAUUCGUAGAUAUUAGAAAGAAUACCAAUUGCGAAGGCAGCUUUCUGGAUCAUUACUGACACUGAGGAACGAAAGCAUGGGUAGCGAAGAGGAUUAGAUACCCUCGUAGUCCAUGCCGUAAACGAUGUGUGUUAGACGUUGGAAAUUUAUUUUCAGUGUCGCAGGGAAACCGAUAAACACACCGCCUGGGGAGUACGACCGCAAGGUUAAAACUCAAAUGAAUUGACGGGGACCCGCACAAGUAGUGGAGCAUGUGGUUUAAUUCGAAGAUACGCGCAGAACCUUACCAACACUUGACAUGUUCGUCGCGACUCUAAGAGAUUAGAGUUUUCGGUUCGGCCGGACGAAACACAGGUGCUGCAUGGCUGUCGUCAGCUCGUGUCGUGAGAUGUUGGGUUAAGUCCCGCAACGAGCGCAACCCUCACUUUUAGUUGCCAUCAUUAAGUUGGGCACUCUGAAAGAACUGCCAGUGAUAAGCUGGAGGAAGGUGGGGAUGACGUCAAGUCCUCAUGGCCCUUACGUGUUGGGCUACACACGUGCUACAAUGGCAUCUACAACAGGAAGCAAAACGGCAACGUUAAGCAAAUCCCGAAAAGAUGCCUCAGUUCGGAUUGCACUCUGCAACUCGAGUGCAUGAAGCUGGAAUUACUAGUAAUCGUGGAUCAGCGUGCCACGGUGAAUGCGUUCCCGGGUCUUGUACACCGCCCGUCACACCAUGGGAGUUGGUUCUACCUUAAGGCAAGGUUUUAAACCCUUGACCACGGUAUAGUCAGCGACUGGGGUGAAGUCGUAACAAGGUAGCCGUAGGGGAACCUGCGGCUG
rnacentral:rRNA from 1 species